UGACUUGAUCUAUCUCUUACU
rnacentral:piRNA from 1 species